ensembl:lncRNA
GGAGAACAGGCUGCAUUAGACUAUAUAUUGAGAACAGGCUACAUUAGACUAUAAAUGGAUAACAGGCUAAAUUAGACCAUAUAUAGAUAACAGGCUACAUUAGAUUAAUUAUGCAUAACAGUCUACAUUAGAUUAUGUAUGGAUAACAGGCUACAUUAGACUAUAUAUGAAUAACAGGCUACAAUAGACUAUAUGGAUAACAUGCUACAUUAGACUAUACAUGGAUUACAGGCUACAUUAGACUAUAUAUAGAUAACAGGUGUUGUAGAAAAGGCCCAUGAAGUUGGUGGAAUAAUCCUUUAGUUCAUUGCCAUUUACUCAGCUGGGCCAGGGGCGCUUUAAUUAGGUCAGGUGGAAAUGUCCGUCAGAUCUCAACUCCAUAAAAGGAGGAAAUUGCAUCGCCUGAUCUCGCUGCUUUCUCUUCCUUAACUCCGUCUGAUCCAGAAGUUCUGUGCGUCCGUGAAUCCACCACAGACUACUCAGUAAAUAUACCACUUUAUGGUUAAAGGAAAUCCUGCCUCAGUCUCAUCCAUUCCUCUGUCACCUGACAUGUGACCACCUGUUCACCUUCACUGUCAGUCAUCCUACCUGUCCAGCUACCCACACAGAUUUCACUUAUCUUUCAAUGGUCCUUCGAGCCGGAUGUUGACUGAACCAAAGACAGGUGAAAAGGAAAUGGAGGCGGAGAGGGAAGAAUUGUCUCCACUGGAAGAAAGAAGAGAGGAGGAGAGAACAGCAUGAGGGUAAGGUCUUGGAACAAAAUAAAUAUCCAGGAGCUAAGCCUAAAGCAACAAAGGCUUCAUCCUCAACCACCAGCAGCACCAGAAGAACCAGGCAAGCACCUGGUUAUCUUAAGGAUUAUGUGGUCAAGUUUCCGACUUCAAAGGGCAAGCCCACCAGAGCUCAAAGUGGUGAUGGAUCAACUGUACGUUUCAGCCAUCAACCAUCCCCUUUGAGCCAAGGACCGGAAACUGCUUUGGAGCAGGAAAGUGGACUACAGGAAGAACCCAUGAAGGUGACUCCCACAGCACAGGUCAACCAGCUUCCUGAAGCAGGCUCCGCUCACCCCUUAACUAAUGGGAAAUCGUCGAAGCACUCUAGACGGAGUGGGAGUUCGACCAGUGGGUACCCCUUUGGAAGUGGUCAUGGCAGCCGCCAUUCACUAGCCCUCAGCGAUUCACCGACCACUGUUCUACAAGAGAGGAUGAAACUAUUAGCUUUGGAGGAAAUUGAGCGUCAUAUUGAGGAGGAACGACAGGCUGACGAAGGAUGUCACCAAUUGGAUGUGCAGGCCCGUAGAGCUCUACAGGAACGGGAAUUCAUUGCCAAGGACCUGGCACAGCAGCGACGGCACCGUCAAGCCAGAAGGGAAUUGGAGGAGGCACGGAUGGUCUCAUCCUUCCUGGAGAGGAACGAACAGGGAGUUGACCUGACCACCCCUCUACAUGGACCUGACCUGUCUACCUUUCUUUCCCAAUCUGCCCCUCUGGUACCGCAUGGCACACAGUCCCCGGAGGCUCCGGGGUCAACAGCUAACAUGGAGCAUGGGGACAGUCUGCUCCACCAUCGCCCUCUAUGCCAGUGACACAAGUUAGCAUUCCUCCAUCUGGACAAAUCAUUACUCCUUCGCCUUUCCGGCAAAUUGUUCCUCUCGUACAGGGCCAGGCCAGUCCUCAAAUAUCAGAUGGGAGGGCUCUCACCCAAUUCCAGCUGCCACCAUUGGAGGGUCUGGGACAGUAGGGGACCGGCCCAAUGAGGCCACAGUGGGCUCAUCAGAAGUCCCGGAUUUCUCCUUCACGCACUCAGAAGAGGGAGCGAACAUUAUGAAUCUUCUAGUAGCCUCAGCCUAUGGAAUUCCCAGACCCAAACUGCCAUACUUUGAGAGAGGAAAGGAAUUGAAUUUGUCCUUUUGGAAAUGGCAUUGGAGAGCCUACUGGGUAUUCUCAGUCAUCUGUCAGAACGCUACAAAUACCAAGUACUAAUGGACCAUUUGCGGUUUCCCAGUGCAUAUAGGCUGGCCCAAUCCUUUAUGCACUCCGCUACACCAUACACUGCUGCUCUCCAGGUCCCGAAGCCCAGAUAUGGUGAGCCACACCAGCUAGUCCAGAAUGAACUAAACAACAUCCUGAACACGUCUCCAAUUAAAAUGGGAGACCAUGCUGCCUUCCAAGAGUUCUCCCUGGCUGUCCAAUCCCUGACCUCAAUGCUCCAAUCCGUUGAAGGAGAAGACGGGAACGAGCUGAAAUGUGGCUCCCACGUGGACAGGCUUCUUAGCAAAUUUCCAGUGUACCUCAAAGACAGUUUAAUGGAAAAUUGUUUGAACAAGGGCAUCCUGAGAGAGGGCUCGAGAAGCACCUAUGCUCUCAGAGACCUUGCCGCAUUGUUGGAGGUGAAGGCAAAGGUGAAGAGCAUCGCUCACCAGGCCACAAUCUCAGCCAUAGCCACUGGGGAAGGAAGGAGUUUUUAAAAAAAAAAAAAUUUUUAUUUUUUUAUUUCACCUUUAUUUAACCAGGUAGGCCAGUUGAGAACAAGUUCUCAUUUGCAACUGCG